GGUCAUUAUAAAAUAGACUAAAAUAGAGAGAGUGAUCCUGUUUGACCAGGCACAUGGCCUGUUAGGUCACUUCUAGUUCAGUUUCUAUAAUUAAGCAACCUCACAAAGUGAAUUCUUGUUUUUAAUCAUGCAUGCAUAGGCAUGGACCAAUACAACAAAGCACCAGCUAAGCAAGAAUAGUAAAUCAUUAAAAGUUUUUGUUUCAAGAUAUUUGAAUAUUGAAGAGACAUAGCAUAUGGGUGUGAGAAGAUGGCAAUCUAUCAUUAAAGUGUAGUAUGAUUUCUCACUUUGAUGCUGUUGUGAGAAACAUGAGAGAUAAGUAAAUUCCUUUGUGGGGACCAGAUAGCUUUUGCAAGGCCAAAACCAAGUGCUUUGUUUGGGAUAACCCUUAUGUUAUAUACCUCUGCUAUGUCUUUGGAACAGUUAAAAAAAAAAAACACCUUUAAAAGCCAGUAUAUGGCAGUAGUGUCAGAGACUACUUGAAAAAGUUAAGGACAUCCAGUCCUUUUGUGAAUAGGUGUUCUUAUCAGGUGAAAUAUUAAGUUGCAGGUUUUAAGAACAACAGGAUAAGCUGUGUGUGAUUUUAUGCAUCUGGACAAUGUUUUUCAUACACAGAAUGCUAAGAUUUUGUUCAUGUAAUGUGAAAAUAAAAUGCAUAGUAUGGGACAUAGAAAUCAGACUUUCGGAGCAUACAAGAUGUUCUGCUGGAACACGGUUGGGGUU